rnacentral:lncRNA from 1 species
GAGUUGUACAGAGCUGCCCGGCGCGGACCCGGAGUCCGAGCGCAGAAACCCCACUGCCACCGCGAGGCGGCUUGCAGCGGGAGGCGCCUGCUUCUUUCCUCAUCCCCAAGAUCAGGCAUCGAGAGCCCCCACCUAGAGCCAUGGCCAGCCCCCCAGGCAGCCCUGAAGAUGCAGACAAGCUGAGAGGAGGCAGGGAGGGCCGGCAGAGGAGGGAGGACGACGCUCCGGAGCAGAAGAGGUUGAGGCUGGGGCUGCGAGCGGGAAGCGAGCCCCAGGACGGAGCCACGACACCGCGUCCAGCCCAGGACGAGCUCGACACCCACACAGGUGGCGAAGGCAGAAGUGCUCUGCUGUCUCUGCCUCCCAGCCUGGUGGAGAGUCAGAACAGUCACUGUUAAUGGAUCAUCCAAGACUCAUGAGGUGAAUGAAACCACUUGGUAUCUGUGAUGGGUGAGCUCUAAAGAUGGAGUUCAUUUUUCCAGGGUUGCCAGUAGGUGACUGAAGAGUUGGUUUCUUAAGCAUCAUGGACUGGUUGUCGAGAAGGAACUGCAGGCUUGCUUGCCUUUUCUACUGUAUUUCAUGAGAGCAGUUGGAGGAAGCCCCAUCACCUAGCCACCUCACCUCACCUGUUCCUGCUGGAGGAACCACAGCUCUGCCUUAGGGGAACACAACUGCAUCAAAUGGAUCUACGCCUCGGGGCAAUGCAUUAUUCUUUAUUGAUUCCAACUCUACCUUAUUAUUGUUGCUUAGCGAGGAACUAAUGUGAUUUCUAAGGAAGCCAUGUGGCUUUCAGAUGGAUGAAGUAAGAGUUUAUUUCCCCUGGGAUGACAUAUCAUCCUCUCUUCAAUUAAAACCUGUGAAGGAAAAUUAAUGCAAAUGUAGGGAGUUUUCCCUAUAAGAUUAAUGUCCAGACAGUAGAUUUCCAGUGUUCAUGUGGAAUUCUUAUGUGAUAGAAUUGGGGUGUCACAGGGCUGGCCCUCCAGUUGGUGGGAGAUUAAGUGUGAGGAGCUUAAUCAGGGGGCUGAGUCUGAGGUGAUUAUUAAAUGUGGUGAUUGGGCUGUGUUCUGCACUUUCUUCACGGCUGGAUCAUCCUGACAGCAGGGUCACCACCGGUCUCUAACUCUUCUCAUUGACUGUGUUCACCAGUCACUGGAAAAAUCCUCUCUCUGAAUGGGUGUGUGAUGUAUAUGUAUACGUGCAUGCACAUGUGUGUGUGUGUGUGUGCGCGCGCACUCAUGUGUGUGUAUGCAUAUGGAGGUCAGAGGACAAGUUUAGCAGUCGUUUCUCAAAGCGUCAUAUACCAUGUUUUGUUUUGCUUCACAGGGGUCUUUCCCUGACCUGGAACUUGCCUGGUAGGUUAGGCUAACUGGAUAAUGAGCCCCAGAGCCCCACCUGUACCUGCCUCUCCAGCUAUAGGGGUUACAAGAGCCUGCCACUAUGCACAGCUUGAUUUUUUGUGUGGGUGCUGGGGGUCAAACUCAGGUCCUCCUGCUUGCAAGGGAAGGACUUAUUGACUGAGCACCCCCAGUUUUAGUUGGAGGUGAGACUAGGCAUUUAAAAUGAGUACUACAGUGGCAUUCAGUACAUUUGUAGUAGGAUGUAGCCCCCACCUCUGUUCCUUUCAAAGCAUCUCCAUCACUCUGAGGCAAAGCCUAGAUCUGUCCCCUCCCUGCCCCUCUCUGGUCCCUAGCAACUGUCUACGUGCUGCUUCUGUAGGGUUACCUGUUCUGGCUAUUUCUUAUAAGCAAAAUCCUAAAGUAGAUGAUGUUACAUGUCUGGCCUCUGUCACACAAGAAACAUCUGGGUGAACAUACAGUCCAGUGUCUCCAUUCCAAGAACCUAAAACAAAGACUUGUGUAGGCUCAGGAAAUACCUAUUUAUAGUGAUCCUGUGCACAGUGGCUCAGAGGUGAGAUCAGCCCAAGAUCCAUCAAAGAACCAGAAAACAAACUGUGAUUCAAAUUUGUCCUACACAGCCCUACAAGGGAAGGAGACUCUGCAACAGGAAUCUCGACAGGUAGCCUUUGGCUGGCCCAUGUCCUCUCUGUGUGAUGUGGUUGCUUUAUCAGAUGCAUAUGGAGGGUGUGAGACUGUGAGAGGUGGGGCUAGACCUGGAUGGACGGUACCACUUUCUUACUAGGCUUUCCACACAUCUACUGGGUGAGCAGCACCUUGGCUGGAGACCAUGGAUGGGGAGUAUUUGGACCAUUGCUUGUCUCUGCAGAGCCUGGAGCUGCAAUAGGGAUUGGGUCUGACUUACCAACUGUCCUGCUUUGUUGAUUAAAAAGUUUUGUUUGAUCUA